CCCGAAUGACGCAGGGUUGAGGGGUAACCUUGUCCUGCUCUCAUCUGGGGUCAUUCUGUUGAUGGCCUCCACCCGAGAGCCCUCCGGGCCGCUCACCACACCCACUGGUCCCGAGCUGAAGAGAGAGAAGGCUGGAGGCAGCAGCUCGCUCUAAAUGAAACCGAAAUGAAAGCUCACUUCCUCAUUGUGGAUGCUGCGUGUGGCGAGCUCCAAUUUCUUUUUAAAGUCAGUCCAGCUGGCCUCCCGCUGCCUGGAGCGUCUCUGGAGUGAGAGCCACACCUGAGGGAGACCAUGGGGACCCCUGCUCACGCUGCCAUGUAGGUACCGUCCGCUUUUCCGCAUUUGCUUUGUUCGUAUGUGGCCUUACACAUGCUCUCCUCAGCCGGCUGGCCAGGUUUUUAAAUCUUUGCUUUCAGGAAGUGAGCUGGACGCAAGAUCAUGCCGCCCGGCUCGCCUCUUGUUUUUCUGAUCAGAAGGAGUCUGAGAGAUCUCUGUGGGCUGAAGGCUGGGUCUCUGCCGACCACGGCCCGAAGGCUCGCACAGCCCAAACCUCAGCUGUUCUGAAACAGAUCCGGUUCCGGGCGACUACUGACUUUCUGUUCAGUACCGAGGGGGUGGGCGUCGGCGUGUGGCGUGGAGACCGGCCUCGCCUCGGGCUGGGAGGGCAGGCUGGCCGCGGAGCCCCGGCUCUGCUCCCUGAGUCUCGGGCGAGGCCCACCGCCCCUGGCUAUCUGAAGGCCGCUGAAGGUCUUAGCCAGCGUGGCUGCCUGUGUGGACUUUGGUGUUCACGGUCAGACCCAGGGUCACCCAGGCCAGGCAAGACCUACACUGCGGAGCUCCGGCUCCGCCCUGCUUGUUUAUUUUGGAGAUCUGCUGUGUCUGUGUUGACCAAGCAGGCCUUGAACUCCCGCAUGCACCCGGUCCUCCUGCCUCAGCGUCUUAAGUCUUCGUAGGUGGCUGCUGUGCCUGGCUUAUUUUUAAAAUGAAGUCUUAACUGAUAAUAAGAAACGAG
rnacentral:lncRNA from 1 species